rnacentral:rRNA from 1 species
UACGGGGGGGGCAAGCGUUGUUCGGAAUUACUGGGCGUAAAGGGCCAGUAGGCGGCCAACUAAGUCCGACGUGAAAUCCCCAGGCUUAACCUGGGAACUGCGUCGGAUACUGGAUGGCUUGAAUUCGGGAGAGGGAUGCAGAAUUCCCGGUGUAGUGGUGAAAUGCGUAGAUAUCGGGAGGAACACCAGUGGCGAAGGCGACUUCCUGGCCUGUUCUUGACGCUGAGGCGCGAAAGCUAGGGUAGCAAACGGG